ensembl:lncRNA
CUUGUAACUGCAAUAAUAAGCCCGAGCUUAUUCAAAUAAGAGAAACCAUCCCAGCCAGCUCCAAGUCACGUGUCUAGGUCACAUGGCCUGCCAACCAGAGAAGUCGGCUGGCAAUCAUUAACUAAUGCUUUCUCCCAGGGAGAAAAAUGCAGGUUUUAAAGAGGCCGGGACUGCAGGAUUGCAAUAGAAGAAUUUGCAAACUUGAGCUUAAAGCCUGCUUUUCCAGACCCGGGGUAGCCAGGGCCAUAUCUGCGCCUGGGAGCCAGAAACCAGUUCCAGCACUGGGACGAUGGGCCUCAGAGAAGUUCUGGGUUAAAACUCAUGGAAAGCCAGGUGUUCUGUGCCUUGGGAAGUUAGUGCCAGGAGUUCCUGGAGGAGUGAGAGGGUGGGAGGAGGCACGUGAGCCUGUGAGGGCAUCUGUGGAGUUUUCAUUACACCGAAAUUUUGUGGUUGAUAAGGCCAGACACUGCCUGCCAGGAGGUUUUCUUGCUCAACCUUUGGAUUUAGACGUUUCUUUCUCCUUCUCUGGGUUGGGUAGUGUUCCUUGGUGUUUUCCAAAUCUGUGGAGUUGAGUUUGUUUGAUUUCAGUAUAGAAAUGACAGUAUUGGUUAGGAUGAAAAAUGGCAAAGCUUUGUUGGAGGAAGAGGAUAAAAUACAGAGAAAGGAAGGGCCUUAGCAGAAAGAAAAAAAAUCAAAAUGUCAGAGUUCUAUUUUUCACAUUGUGUAAAAAGCCCCCCCCCCCUAAAAAAAUAGAGUGCAAUAAAGAUUCAGUCUUGUGUGGGAGGAUCUCUGUGAGUUGGAGACCAGCCCUGUCCACAGAUCAAAUCCCAGGACAGCCAGGGCCGCACAGGGAGACGGUAGGUAUCCUGUUGCCUACUUUGUUGAUUCAGUGAGUCUGUGAUCCCACGAGAAUACUUUGCAAGGCACUAAUUCCCUUAAUUUUGGGUUUGUACCAACAAGGAAACUUAUAAAAAUUGGUUAUUCAUGAGCUCUGUUGUUCAACAAAUGCAGUAAAAUUCCAUGUGUCUUAAGUUCUCCAAAAGUCCGAGAUACAGUUUUACCAUAAUGGAUUUUGUUGUUGUUGUUUGUUUGUUUGUUUGUUUGAGACAGGGUUUCCUCGGUGUAAUCCUGCCUAUCCUGGAACUCAUUCUGUAGACCAGGCUGGCCUCAAACUCACAGAGAUCCUCCUUCCUCUGCCUCCCAAGUGCUGAGAUUAAAGGCAUGUGCCACACAGGAAUGGGUUUUAAUUCAAUCUGUUGUUUUAAGAUUGGCAUUAAUAAAAGUAGUCUGUCCUAGUAUGUGUUCAGUUGCUUGGAUAAAACACCAUGAUCUAAACCUACUUGUAGGGAAAAGGGAUUAUUUCAGGUUACAACUCUCUGGUCACACCAUCACUAAGGGAAGUUGGGGCAGGAAGUCAAGGCGGGAACCUGGAGGCAGGACCUGAUAUGGAGGAACAGUGCUCAUUGACUUGUUCCCCGUAGCUUGCUCAGCCUGCUUUCUUAUAGAACCCAGGACCACCAAUCCAGGGAUGGCCCCACCCACAGUGAACUGGGCUCUCCCCCAUCAAUCAUUAAUGGGAGCCUCCAAAGGCUUGCCUCUCUCCAGAUGACCUUAGCCUGUGGGAGGCUGACAUAAAACUAACCAGUCCAGCCACCCACAUUCUCUUAGAGCUGUCAUAAGGUUCCAAGAUAACAUUGAAACAUCGAGACUCUAAUUGCUGAUGAAUGUGCAAAACUGGGGUCAUGAUUCCUUUCUAUUGUUGUUUCUUUUCUUUCUUUCUUUCUUUUUUUUUUUUUUUUGCUCCUUUUCUGGAGUCUCACAUAACCCAGGCUGGUCUCCGUGUAACUCCUAAUCCUCCUGCCUCCACUUCCCAGGUGCCAGGAUUACAGGCAUGCACCACUACCCCUGGCCAACGUUUCAUUUUAGCUGCAAAUCGCCAGAUUAACGGGAGGAUGAACGAUAUGAAGAAAGAUUUUGGUGAAAGGGAACAUACUAUGGAAAGUGAGACAGUGUUCAUUGAACUGAUCUAUAUGCUGUAUUCCCUUGGUUUCUUCAGUAGAAAGAGAAAAAGUCAUCCUUGGCCGUGGAGUGGUGCUUCUCAACCUUCCUAAUGCUGCGACCCUUUAAUACAGUUCCUCAUGUUGUGGCGACCCCCAACAUAAAAUUUUUUCGUUG